rnacentral:rRNA from 1 species
GACGAACGCUGGCGGCGUGCUUAACACAUGCAAGUCGAACGAAGUGGCGAACGGGUGAGUAACGCGUAAUCACCCUGCCCUUCAGAGGGGGACAACAGUUGGAAACGACUGCUAAUACCGCAUACUGAAGGAGGGGAUUGCGUCUGAUUAGCUAGUUGGAGGGGUAACGGCCCACCAAGGCGAUGAUCAGUAGCCGGUCUGAGAGGAUGAACGGCCACAUUGGGACUGAGACACGGCCCAGACUCCUACGGGAGGCAGCAGUAGGGAAUCUUCGGCAAUGGACGAAAGUCUGACCGAGCAACGCCGCGUGAGUGAAGAAGGUUUUCGGAUCGUAAAACUCUGUUGUUAGAGAAGCGGUAUCUAACCAGAAAGCCACGGCUAACUACGUGCCAGCAGCCGCGGUAAUGC